UGUACAAAUACAUUUUGGAGCCAAUUUGUAUGUAUACAUAUGGAUACAUAUUUGAUCAUACAUACAUAUACAUAUUUGAUCUCUAUAUCUUUCCAGUAUCUUCGAAUAUAGAUAAUAUCAUAGCAUAUACUGAAGUCAUAUAUCGGUCGUAUAUAGCUAUGUAUUAUGACAAAGUACUUUCUAUUUUUAACCUCAUCUAAUGUCUCACUGAUAAACCACACCCGCGGAAGUGGACAUUCGAUAACAACCUACUAUUAAUGGCUUCUCUUUAGCUUAACGAACUUAUACAUGGGUUUUAAUAUACCGCAUGAUCUUUGAUUUUCUAUUGAAAUUACUUCGAAACGUUGUUCCGUAGAAAGAGAAACUUCAAGAAUUCAUUAAACGUUACCGGGGACGGUAAAAAACGAAAUCGGUUAAUCCGAAAAUCUCCAAAAACACAGAGGAAUCUGUUUUCAGCCGAAUCUUGACGUCAUCGUUCACGGAAGAACGUGAGAAAGCGUGAUUUUCGUGCAUGUUCUCUUGAAGUCAUAGAUGACGCAUUUAUUCCAAGUUAAUAUUGACACAUUUUUUUAGGUCGAUUUGUACUGCAAUUUUUAUCUUGUACCACGAGGUAAAAAGUUAAAAUCUUCUGCUUGUUCACACGAUUAUUUCAAAUACAUUUUUUCGGCGUCAUGAGUCAAUAUUUGUCCAAGCCAUAAUCAAACUGCCAGUUAUAUUGGAAAAUUUGUAAUUUGCAUUGAACGAUAAGAAACGGCCACCUGCCUGAGCUGCAAAGAUUUUCUUAAUUACAUUCUGUUAUUUUAUCCUUUUGGAUUGUUUUAUUAAUCUUGUGCAUUAUUUGUACAAGUUAAACCAAUCUUUUUCCAGUUUGCGUCAGCCACAGUUUAUACAAUAAGUAAUGAAAGAACACAUACAAAAUGUUUCCGAAUAGAACCGUUAUCAAUAUUGGAAAUAUUUAUAGUAAACGAUGCUUCAUCUGAUUAUGCAUUACACCUGAAGGAGAAAAGAGAAAAAGAAAUCAAAAUUUCCUACAGCUGCUUAAGACAAAAAACUCACGAUCAGUUGCCAACUCGAAAUUCGCCAAUUGGAUAAAAUACAUGCAUAUAUAUACAUAUAUUAAAAGGAUCGGAAAACGUAUUUACGUAAUACUUCUCAUCGUUUAGGAUUGCAUCGGAGAACCACGUACUACUCAUUUCAUAAGACUGAAUGAUAAAUUUGAUAAGAUUUUAAAAUAAUAUGUUUAUAAAAUAUAAAUACUUCGGUUAUCAAUAUUUCUAAAGUUAGAUGAAAGAAUUUAAAUGUAAAGGAAUGAUUAAAAAAUGUUUCAGAGACAAAUAGAUGAUAAUCCUGCUUCUUAAUGACCAUCGU